AGAACGAACGCUGGCUUCAGGCCUAACACAUGCAAGUCGAGCGCUGUACCAAUACAGAGCGGCGCACGGGAGUAUUACCACGUGGGAACCUACCUUUUGGUUCGGAAUAACGUCGGGAAACUGACGCUAAUACCGGAUAAGCCCUUCGGGGGAAAGAUUUAUCGCCGAAAGAUGGGCCCACGUUGGAUUAGCUAGUUGGUGAGGUAACGGCUCACCAAAGCAACGAUCCAUAGCUGGUCUGAUAGGAUGAUCAGCCUCACUGGGACUGAGACACGGCCCAGACUCCUACGGGAGGCAGCAGUGGGA
rnacentral:rRNA from 1 species